rnacentral:rRNA from 1 species
AUUGAACGCUGGCGGCAGGCUUAACACAUGCAAGUCGAGCGGUAGAGAGGUGCUUGCACCUCUUGAGAGCGGCGGACGGGUGAGUAAUGCCUAGGAAUCUGCCUGGUCGUGGGGGAUAACGCUCGGAAACGGCAGCUAAUACCGAAUACGUCCUACGGGAGAAAGCAGGGGACAUUCGGGCCUUGCGCUAUCAGAUGAGCCUAGGUCGGAUUAGCUAGUUGGUGAGGUAAUGGCUCACCAAGGCUACGAUCCGUAACUGGUCUGAGAGGAUGAUCAGUCACACUGGAACUGAGACACGGUCCAGACUCCUACGGGAGGCAGCAGUGGGGAAUAUUGGACAAUGGGCGAAAGCCUGAUCCAGCCAUGCCGCGUGUGUGAAGAAGGUCUUCGGAUUGUAAAGCACUUUAAGUUGGGAGGAAGGGUCGUUACCUAAUACGUGACGAUUUUGACGUUACCGACAGAAUAAGCACCGGCUAACUCUGUGCCAGCCGCCGCAGUAAUAC